rnacentral:ncRNA from 1 species
UAACCGGCUUCAUGAGAGGUCGCUGAACGAUCAGAAGUCAGCCGAGGUCGUAGUACCUGCCUUUCCGGAAAGAC